rnacentral:lncRNA from 1 species
GCGGAAAAAAAUUCAAUUUUGUCGCAUAGUGCUAUUUGCUAAAAAACCUUUAAUGAAGUUCCUUUAAAGUUGCAAAAUAAGUGAAUGGCUGGGAUCUUUGGUGGAGUUAUGCUAUAAAUAAUAGUGUCUAGAUCGGAACAAGGAAGUUAACCCGCUGACCACCUUGAAUCCAAUGCAAAAUGUGCACUAACUGUAGUUGACUUCUCUUAAUGCAAUACAUUUGAUACAACAUUUUAAUGAGAAAUGGCCAUUGCGAUGAGAGUUUAAUACAUUUCAACAUUUAUUUGUGCCGACCUAAAUUCCUAUUGAAACCGUUUUUACAGAGUUUCUUUUACAGCUGGCCGCUAGAGGAAAGGAAAUCAGAUUUCUGUCCAUCCAGACCACAAUAUCUCUCCGCUGACUGUCAUUUGUCAAAAGGGUUGGGAGGGGGCUGGCAAGAUGAAUAGAAAAAUUGAGUGGAAGGAAAAAAAUAAAAAUACAACCGCCCAAUUAGCGACACAGUUAAACGUCAACAUCCUCACGGCUUCACAUCCGGAGGAGUUGUACAGAUCUCAUUUCUCCACCCGUGGGCCUGUUUCUGCCUGUCUGUCUUUCUCACUUCUCACAUAUGUAACUUGUGACGGUUACAUUUUCGCCGUCAAUCAGCGUGCGCCUUCCUCAAAAUAUGUGGAACCGACAAAAACGUCGCAGCAAAAAACCCAACCAGACAACCGCCAAACCAAGCCACGACACCGUCC